rnacentral:lncRNA from 1 species
GAUGGAGGGUGAUGUGAGCUAUCACACAUAAUUUUAAUCCCACAAAAAGUAAUAUUUUCUUUCUGCCCAUGCCAACACUUGUACGCAGAACCUGUUUUGCACCAAGAGUCCACCACAACUUGGACUCUUCAUAAUUGGUGUUAACAUGGGAUGUGGUGCCCCAAUUUAGAUUUCUUCCAGGUGAUAUGACCUGAUCCAAAUGUCUACCAAAUUGGGCUAGCUAAUUAGCAAGGGAUGGGACCAAAUUGGUCUCCGAAGGAGCAAGGAUUUCCAUACGUACUAGCACGC